rnacentral:rRNA from 1 species
CAGGCCUAACACAUGCAAGUCGAACGAAGGCUUCGGCCUUAGUGGCGCACGGGUGCGUAACGCGUGGGAAUCUGCCCUUGGGUUCGGAAUAACAGCGAGAAAUUGCUGCUAAUACCGGAUGAUGACGUAAGUCCAAAGAUUUAUCGCCCAAGGAUGAGCCCGCGUAGGAUUAGCUAGUUGGUGAGGUAAAGGCUCACCAAGGCGACGAUCCUUAGCUGGUCUGAGAGGAUGAUCAGCCACACUGGGACUGAGACACGGCCCAGACUCCUACGGGAGGCAGCAGUGGGGAAUAUUGGACAAUGGGCGAAAGCCUGAUCCAGCAAUGCCGCGUGAGUGAUGAAGGCCUUAGGGUUGUAAAGCUCUUUUACCCGGGAUGAUAAUGACAGUACCGGGAGAAUAAGCUCCGGCUAACUCCGUGCCAGCAGCCGCGGUAAU